CGAUCGCGUCUCGUUUCGGAUGUGUCGAUGGGAAAACAUUUUAAUCUGAACAGUUUCCAUAGUGAGUUAAAUAGUUGUGCUUACGACUAUUGAUCUGAGACCGACCAUAUCCAACCAACAACAGAUACCAGGUUGGGUUGGUUAUCAGUGCUUAAGCGUGUAGUAGCAUUUGAGUACGAGACGAUUGAGGUAACAGCGGUUCCAAGCCUUCGUUUUGCUUCCGGAUAAGACACCUUACUGGAUGUGUACCGUUGCAAUUGAGGCAUACGACUGGAUCGUCACAUGGAGAACCCGGAUGUACGGAUUUUCCACAGACGCAUACUUGUUCCUUCUCACAUUUUAGCGUUGUGUGUCCAAAACGUUGACAUUUGUAACAUCUCAUUGGUUGAGGAACAUAAUUAUGGUCUCACUUUCAAGGUAUAAAAAGCCGCAUUAAUUACCCUGGCAAGUUGGGUGGCAUUGAACGGGGCAGGGGAAAAAACCACACUCUUCAUCCAUGCCAGAAGUUUGUACUUGCGUUGGGGCCUGGUCAUCCACCCACAACGCCGAGCAGCCGCUUGAUAAAGGUCGGGUGAGGCCUGCCCGCUUCGUCUCUCUCCCGACCGGCACUGGGGAUCGUCCGAACCCCUGCGCCGUAACGUUUGUAAUAGAAAGGCCCGAAUUCAUUAGCGUUUCUUAAAAUCGUCCAUCUUUGAAAGCUCCUUAAGGAUAUUACAAAUUUUUAGAAUCCUCUUAGAGCUCGCCGUAGAAAUCUUGGAAAAAAAUUUGAAUUUUUAAGUAACUUGCAAGUUCUUUAGAAAAAAUGAUUUAUUACCUGACCAACAGUUAACCAAUAACAACGUGGCCUACAUACUGCAAGGCUCUCAUUUCUUAUUUCUGAAAGUAAAUGUCAAAAACUUGAUUUUUUCAUUAUACACACUACCACCAGAUACUUUUGCAUACAUUGACAACAAAAGUAAUUUAGGUGGCCACGUUUUCUGUGAAAUACUCCUAAAUUAAUUUAUUUAAAUUAAAUUAUUUCGGUUUAAACAUCGAAAAUAAUGAUGGGAUAUCCUGUAUAGAAUAUUUCAAUUUAUUUAAGUAAAUCUGGGUUUUAUUUAUGAAAUAAGCAGAGUUGGUUCGUUUUAUUUGAAUUUGUGUCUCAGUGUUUAAAUCCUUGCUAUGGAAAAUUUACAGGGCCCAAUCAAAAUAUGACAAUUUUAGUAUUAAGGUUUGAAAAGCGACACUAGCCCUCAGAGACGGUCUUACUAAGUCCCAUUCGCAUUUUUUUAUCAAAAUAUAUGACUGUUGCGAGCCUAAGGUAACACCUACGAAAUUGACUAAAAUCACCGAUCGUCGUCUGUUUGCUAAUUAGUUCGCGCGAGUUUGUGAAUAUAGAGCAGUGUAUUUUUACGAAGUGUACAUUAGCAGAAGAAAAAACCACGGAGGUGAAUAGAGAAGAUGGUGGAGUAGGUAGUCCUUUUGGAUAACCGCUCCGCAGUGACUGUCCAUGUGUCCUACAGGAAAGAUACACAAGAAACGAAGACCGCCUUCGGAAUGAGGUGAGUGAUAACGUAUUUUGGGGGAAAAGGACCGUUUUUUGGGAAGUACGGUCAGAAAACUCCUUGAGCACAGAAAAGUGUGCACAAUCAACAAAACAACGGUUGAAGCAAUCAUUUCGAAGGGUAUUUUCACUGAUUUUGAGGGCAAGAAUAGCGUCACGGCAAACAAAUUCGUUUUUGGUCGCGGCAUGCAUUAGGAGGCCAAGAAAAGAUCAUAGAAAACGAAUUGUGGAGGCAGAAGCAAAAAUAGUCAGGGGGCAUGACUUCGCGCGCAUUUCGACACUCUCGACCACUCGACGAACUGUUUCCAGAUCAUUGCGCGAUUUCCUGGAUAUCGUUACCAAGCCCGACAAGCAAGCUCCAAUUUUGCUACAUUUAAGCGCCUAUUUGUAUCAGCAAGGGGUUGCCGUCUUCUGAUAGGUCCACUGCAGAGGUCUGGGGUCCAUGAUCUUGUAGCACUUCAUUG